rnacentral:rRNA from 1 species
CACGUAGGGUGCGAGCGUUGUCCGGAAUUAUUGGGCGUAAAGAGCUCGUAGGCGGUUUGUUGCGUCGGCUGUGAAAUCCCGAGGCUCAACCUCGGGUCUGCAGUCGAUACGAGCAAACUAGAGUGUUGCAGGGGAGACUGGAAUUCCUGGUGUAGCGGUGAAAUGCGCAGAUAUCAGGAGGAACACCGGUGGCGAAGGCGGGUCUCUGGGCAACAACUGACGCUGAGGAGCGAAAGCGUGGGGAGCGAACCGG